GCCACCGUAGCUCAGUUGGUAGAGCAUUUCAUUCGUAAUGAAGAGGUCGGAGGUUCGAAUCCUCUCGGUGGCU
rnacentral:tRNA from 1 species